rnacentral:rRNA from 1 species
AUUGAACGCUGGCGGCAUGCCUAACACAUGCAAGUCGAACGGCAGCACAGCAGUAGCAAUACUGUGGGUGGCGAGUGGCGGACGGGUGAGGAAUACGUCGGAAUCUGCCCAGUCGUGGGGGAUAACUAGCCGAAAGGUUAGCUAAUACCGCAUACGACCGAGAGGUGAAAGCGGGGGACCGCAAGGCCUCGCGCGAUUGGAUGAGCCGACGUCGGAUUAGCUAGUUGGCGGGGUAAAGGCCCACCAAGGCGACGAUCCGUAGCUGGUCUGAGAGGAUGAUCAGCCACACUGGAACUGAGACACGGUCCAGACUCCUACGGGAGGCAGCAGUGGGGAAUAUUGGACAAUGGGGGCAACCCUGAUCCAGCCAUUCCGCGUGAGUGAAGAAGGCC